AACCCGUAGAUCCGAACUUGUGCUGACCAUGCACACAAGCUUGUGUCUAUAGGUAUG
rnacentral:pre_miRNA from 1 species